rnacentral:rRNA from 1 species
CUUUACUGCAACUUGACGUUGGAACUUGGCUGUAUUUGUGUAGGAUAGGUGGGAGACUUUGAAGCAGGGCCGCCAGGUCUUGCGGAGUCGUCGUUGAAAUACUACCCUGGUGCUGACGAGUUUCUAACUGUGUCUGUAAGCCGGACAUGAGACAGCGUCUGGUGGGCAGUUUGACUGGGGCGGUCGCCUCCUAAAAGGUAACGGAGGCAUUCAAAGGUCCCCUCAGCGUGGUCGGUAAUCACGCGCAGAGUGCAAACGUAUAAGGGGGCUUAACUGCGAGACCGACAGGUCGAGCAGGUACGAAAGUAGGAGUUAGUGAUCCCGCAGUUUAGCGUGGAAUUGCCGUUGCUCAAUGGAUAAAAAGUA